AUUGAACGCUGGCGGCAGGCUUAACACAUGCAAGUCGAGCGGAGUGAUGGUGCUUGCACUAUCACUUAGCGGCGGACGGGUGAGUAAUGCUUAGGAAUCUGCCUAUUAGUGGGGGACAACAUCUCGAAAGGGAUGCUAAUACCGCAUACGUCCUACGGGAGAAAGCAGGGGAUCACUUGUGACCUUGCGCUAAUAGAUGAGCCUAAGUCGGGUUAGCUAGUUGGUGGGGUAAAGGCCUACCAAGGCGACGAUCUGUAGCGGGUCUGAGAGGAUGAUCCGCCACACUGGGAGUGAGACACGGCCCAGACUCCUACGGGAGGCAGCAGUGGGGAAUAUUGGACAAUGGGGGGAACCCUGAUCCAGCCAUGCCGCGUGUGUGAAGAAGGCUUUAUGGUUGUAAAGCACUUUAAGCGAGGAGGAGGCUCUUUUGGUUAAUACCCAAGAUGAGUGGACGUUACUCGCAGAAUAAGCACCGGCUAACUCUGUGCCAGCAGCCGCGGUAAUAC
rnacentral:rRNA from 1 species